UGGGCUAGGAGACAUGAGUGGAUAGAAAAUAAUAUUCUAUUCAUUUGCCUCCCAGCCUACA
rnacentral:miRNA from 1 species